GAUGAAGAACGUAGCGAAAUGCGAUAAGUAAUGUGAAUUGCAGAAUUCAGUGAAUCAUCGAAUCUUUGAACGCACCUUGCGCUCCUUGGUAUUCCGAGGAGCAUGCCUGUUUGAGUGUCAUUAAAUUCUCAACCUCACCAGUUUUGUAACGAGACAGGUGAAGGCUUGGAUGUGUGGGGGUUUUGCAGGCUGCCUCAGUGCUGGUCUGCUCUCCUGAAAUGCAUUAGCGAGCUCAUAUUGAGCUUCCGUCUAUUGGUGUGAUAAUUAUCUACGCCGUGGAUUGGACUCAUGCUUGCUUCUAACCGUCCGCAAGGACAAUUUACUUGACCAAUUUGACCUCAAAUCAGGUAGGACUACCCGCUGAACUUAAGCAUAUCAAUAAGCGGAGGA
rnacentral:misc_RNA from 1 species